UUUUUUUUAAUGAGUUGAAUUAUUUAUUUUUUAAUGAGUUGAAAGUGAAACUAGCCAAAAAAAUAAAAUAAAAAACACGCAUUCACUCUCUUUCUCUCCCUCUCUAUCGAUCAGUUGCAGCCUCUACAGAUAGGUGUCAAAUAUUUUUACCUUGCUUGACAACCGGAAACGCUUAAAAUAUGAUUUCUUUGUUGUUGCUGUUGUUUUGGUUCAGCAAUGGAUAGCAGUAGUACGCCUUGUAAGCUGUUACUAUGUGGAAAAUCAUCUGCAGAGAAUGAAAUUGCUAAAUCAUUGAUGAACAAUAACACUCUUAAACUGCCGGAUAAUGUGGAAAUCUCUACUCUUUCGCACUCGGAGAUUCUUGAUGAGCCGCAGCAAAAUGAAGAAUCUUUCUCUCUUUCACGGUUUAUGAAUUCUCUCUCAACUAAUUUAUUCGGUAGAUUACUCAUUUGGUCUCCGCUAUUGCCUUCAACUCAUGAUCUUGUUUCCAACAAUUUUGGCGAGCUUCCAAUUGGUACUGUUUGCAUUGCUGAUGUUCAAUAUAAAGGGCGAGGCCGAUCGAAGAAUGUGUGGGAAUCCCCAGCAGGUUGCUUGAUGUUUUCAUUUACCAUUCAAAUGGAGGAUGGGCAAGUUGUGCCUUUGUUGCAAUACGUAGUGUCUCUUGCUGUUACAGAGGCAAUUAAGGAUCUUUGUGACAAAAAUGGCUUACCACAUAUUGACGUUAGAAUAAAAUGGCCAAAUGAUCUUUAUUUAAAUGGUGUUAAAGUUGGAGGCAUUCUCUGCACCUCAACAUACAGAUCAAAGAAGUUCAAUAUCAGUGCCGGUAUAGGCUUGAAUGUCGAUAAUGAGAAACCAACAACAUGCUUGAAUGCGGUCUUGAGAGAGUUGGCUGGGGCUGCAUGCGCAUUAAGAAGAGAAGAUAUUGUUGCGGCCUUUCUAAAUAAGUUUGAAAAACUUUAUGAUCUUUUCAUAAAUGGAGGAUUUCAAACUCUUGAGGAGCUUUACUAUAAAACAUGGCUGCACAGUGGGCAGAGAGUUAUCAUCCAGGAGAAGAAUGAGAACCAAGUAGUGGAGAACGUGGUCACCAUUCAGGGCUUGACACCUUCUGGUUAUUUGCUAGCUAUUGGUGAAGACAAUCAAAUGUGUGAACUUCAUCCUGAUGGCAAUAGUUUUGACUUCUUCAAAGGACUAGUUAGAAGAAAAAUUGAAUAAAGAAGAUUCCCUGGCACCUUCCACCAGAGGCAAAAGUCAUGUUGGAACGGCAGCGUAGCUGAAGAUGUUUUAUGAACUGUAUUUCGUACUUUCAUGUCGAGAUGUAUAGCAAUAAUCAAUCAUUUCUUAGAAACCUGGACACUUCUGUGCCAUCUGUGGAAUGAUACGAAUGAACAACUCCAUAAUUGAUUUGGUCUGUGGCUCAUCACUGGAGAAUAGAUACCUCGACUGUUAAUGCAGUCUGAGACUCAGACACUGGUACGACCUAUGAUCGAGGUGAAUUUCUCUCUUCCUCUCCCCUUUUCUCUCUAUGCAUUUUGUUUUAGAAGGAAAAGAAAACGACCCUUCACCCUCAUAAACACUAGCUUCUGCAUGGAACAAGAUGGUCUAACCUGAUAUAUAUAUUAUUGGGGUGGCCGUAACCCUUUAUGGGGACCAUUUGGCAGACAUUGUCUUCAUUACAAUGGAAUUAUAUUGAGGUUUAGUCUUGUUCAAAAGGCUGCAAAAGAGCUAGUAAAGAUAAAGUUCUUUCAAAUCUUAAGGGUAAAUGAAUUAAUAUUUUUAUAUAAUUCAAGGUCAAGAAUCUAGGUCCUAGUAACUCAAGGCUAGUUAUUUAUAAUUCCAAGAGCAGGAUUCGCCAAUCAUCUACAAAAUCCCUUGGCUCAGAAUUGAUAUCCUGAGUUCCAUAUUCCAUUGUUUAGAUUUCACUCACACUCUCUCUUGCAUAAAGAAGUGUGAAGGGGGCAUUUGUGAAAAUGUACAGGGAGGUCAUUGUGUUUCGAGUGGAAAAAAAAGGAAUAGGAUCGGUCAAAUGCACAAUCACAUGACCAGCAGGCAUGGUGGACCUGGUGAGUGAGAGAUAGAAUCAAAUAAAAAGAGGUUAGCACGUGGAAUAAGGAAAAAAGAUGCUGCAAGUUGGAGUGGUAUAGAAAUUGCUCGAGUUCCCUUCUCAUCCGCAAGUAGAGUUCUUCAAAACAGCAGCAGCUCGGCGUUUAGUAGUGCGUUGUAGCUUUUAUGUUUUGCUAGCGUGUCGUGCUUCUGCCCUCCUUUGGUGCAAUUAAGAUUUUCUUGUCUACAGGCCAUCAACGUGAAAGUGAUAGAUCCUGCACGAGUUUUCAUUCUCUUUUGGCACGUUCAUUUUUAUCUAAAUUAUAUUAAUAAUAUUCGUGUGGUAAGAAGAAGCAAUAUAAUUGCCUCUCGUAA